GAUGAACGCUAGCGGCAGGCCUAACACAUGCAAGUCGAGGGGUAGCAGGAUUAAGCUUGCUUAAUUGCUGACGACCGGCGCACGGGUGCGUAACGCGUAUGCAACCUACCUUAUACUGGGGUAUAGCCCGGAGAAAUUCGGAUUAAUCCCCCAUAGUACUUAUGAAUCGCAUGGUUUAUUAGUUAAAGCAUUGCGGUAUAAGAUGGGCAUGCGUCCUAUUAGCUAGAUGGUGAGGUAACGGCUCACCAUGGCUACGAUAGGUAGGGGGCCUGAGAGGGUGGUCCCCCACACGGGGACUGAGACACGGACCAGACUCCUACGGGAGGCAGCAGUGAGGAAUAUUGGUCAAUGGGCGCAAGCCUGAACCAGCCAUGCCGCGUGCAGGAAGAAUGCCCUAUGGGUUGUAAACUGCUUUUAUUUGGGAAUAAACCUCUUUACGUGUAGAGAGCUGAAGGUACCAAAUGAAUAAGCACCGGCUAACUCCGUGCCAGCCGCCGCCGUAA
rnacentral:rRNA from 1 species